ACGCUCGACACCUACGGGGGGCAGCAGUGGGGAAUAUUGCACAAUGGGGGAAACCCUGAUGCAGCGACGCCGCGUGGAGGAAGAAGGUCUUCGGAUUGUAAACUCCUGUUGUUGGGGAAAAAGAGGAUGGUACCCAACAAGGAAGUGACGGCUAACUACGUGCCAGCAGCCGACGGUAAUCUGAGGCGGGCUGGCAAGGC
rnacentral:rRNA from 1 species